rnacentral:rRNA from 1 species
GACGGAGGAUGCAAGCGUUAUCCGGAAUGAUUGGGCGUAAAGCGUCCGCAGGUGGCAGUUCAAGUCUGCUGUCAAAGACCGGGGCUUAACUUCGGAAAGGCAGUGGAAACUGAACAGCUAGAGUAUGGUAGGGGCAGAGGGAAUUCCUGGUGUAGCGGUGAAAUGCGUAGAGAUCAGGAAGAACAUCGGUGGCGAAGGCGCUCUGCUGGACCAUAACUGACACUCAGGGCCGAAAGCUAGGGGAGCGAAUGGG